rnacentral:rRNA from 1 species
AGUGAACGCUGGCGGUAGGCCUAAUACAUGCAAGUCGAACGGCCGCACAGUAAGAUUUUGCUUUUGCGGUUGGCGGGUGGCGGACGGGUGAGGCAUACAUCGGCAUCUUCUUUUUCGUGGGGGAUUACGUAGGGCAGCUUACGCUAAUAGCUCAUAUGUUGUACGGGUGAAUGCAGUGGUUAUUGGCAGCUUUCGUGUCUGAUAGAGCUGAGUUCGGAUUAGCUUGUUGGCUUGGUAAAGGCACACCAAGGCGACGAUCCGUAGCCGAUCUGAGAGGAUGAUCGGCCACACUGGAACUGAGACACGGUCCAGACUCCUACGGGAGGCAGCAGUGGGGAAUAUUGCACAAUGGGCGCAAGCCUGAUCCAGCAACACCGCGUGAGUGAAGAAGGCCUUCGGGUUGUAAAGCCCUGUUGUUAGGAAAGAAAAAAAGCAGAUGAAUACCCCGAUGUUCUGACGGUACCCAAACAGUAAGCCCCGGCUAACUUCGUG